UGCAGUUCAAUGUACAUCAAUUGCACCUCAAUAAAGCUGUUAAAGAGAAAACGAGGAACAAACAAAACCUUCUAGCUGUGCUUCCUAUUCAUAAAUGAGGUUGCAGAAUAAUGUCCUCCAAGGAUGUUCCUGGCUUUAUCUAUGGACCUGGAGAUGUGAGCUGUGGAACUGGGUAGGACUGUAUAUAUUUUACCUUACAUGGCAAAGGAGCUUUGCAGGUAUAAUCAAAGGUAUGGACCGUGAAGUCAGGAGAUUAUCCUGGGUUAAUGGCAUGGGCACAAUAUAAUCACGUGAGUCCUAAAAAGGGAAGAAACUUCCCUGAUUGGGUCACAGAGAUGAGACAGAAGAGGAAGGAGGAGAGAUUUGAAGAACUCAACUUGCCAUUGCUGGCUUUGAAGGUGAGCGAGGGGGCCAUGAGCCAAGGAAUGUGGCAGCUUCUAGAAGCUGGGAAUGGGCCUCAGUUUACAGGAAGCAAGUAGACAAGACUUCAGUCCUUCUCCCAUCACAAAGAACUAAAUUCUGCAAAUAACCCAAAUGAGUAAGAAACAGAUUCUCCCUUAAAAUCUCCAGAAAGAAAUGCAGCCUGCAGAUACCUGGUUUGUAGUCCGACUUUGAAAGGCAACAGACUCCAAGGGGAAAUAUCAUAGACUUUUCCAGACACCUACCUAUUCUCUCUUCAGGGUUUAAAACCUGAAAACAGAUUGCCUGGGUUUAAAUACUGGCUCCACUCUACACCUUACGACUUGCUUAGCAGUUGGAGACAGCAGUGGUACACUGAAAGCGAGGCUGAAAUGAGCCUAUUCAUGUAAAACACUUUUAACAAUGCCUGACCUCAUGAGAGGAGAAGGUGGCACCAGUGGCUCGUCUGGAGCCAGGAUGGCUGUGCAUGCUUGGAUGGGGCAGUAGGAAUUGACCACCUCUUACUAUUUCCAAUGAAAUUCCCUGAACAAAUUUGGGGGACUUGGGGAUCUGUUUAUAAGGCCUCUUCAGACCUUCAUCUGGGAGCCUUUUAUGGGGCAGGUGGAUAUCCUACUGGAGCCGUGAGCUGCCUUCAGAGACCAUCUUUCCCUUGGAAUAUGGCAGCUGACUGAAAAUGAGAUUAACCCUAAAGGCAUGUACCACAGAUAUUUUAACUCUUUGGUGAUGUGCCUAUUUUGACUCCAAUAAGAGGACUGCUCUGCCUGCUAACACAGAGUGGAACUCUGCUGAGAAGAAAUGAGGCAGCCAUUCAUGACACCGCACAUCCUUUCCCAAGCAACCUGUUAUACAAAUGAAACAUUUUUCGUACAUGGCAAAUUCACAAAGGCAGAAGGGAAGAGGUUAGAAGCGUCUGUCUGCAUGGUUCCAUUGUAUGUAAUAGGGAGAAAAACUGGUAAUAAACAUGGUAAUGGGCUCAUUUUCAUAGAUUGAGCUCAUUAAUCUUCUCUAGGGCUGCCUUUAAAUCUUGACAAGAAAUUUGCCACAAAGAAGUAGAGGCAUCGUGAUAUGAAAAAUGUAGUAAAUGGAAUGCCCUGAAAAGCUGAUCCAUCUUAAACGUCAAGCUAAGGGUAAGCUAACCUAUUUCUUAUUACUUCUAUGUAAUCUUCUCUUUGGUAGCUAGCACACGGUACUUGACAUAUUUUUCAAGAUAGAAAAAUAAAGUGACAUCUGUUUAUAGAGUUCACUGGCAGAUCCACACAUUGUGGGCUGUUUUGACAUUUGGUUUCUAAAAAUAGAUUUAGGACAAAUGUAGACAUUCUUUGUCAUGGUUAGAGUCAUCACAGACUCUAGUAGCCUGCGUGAGCUACUCCUGACACCUGAACACCUAUUUUUAGGAGGCCUCAAGGAGUGAGUUGUAGUCGCUGUGGAGAUAUCUGUGAGGCUCCCAGUAAUUCUUAGAUGAUGGAUUCCAUUCUGAACAUGAACUCUCACAAACAAGAUUCAACUUAAAGGACAGAAAACAUUUAUUCUGACAGCACUACCUUGAACCUUGUUUCACCAUUCCAAGAUACUGUAAUAUAACACACCAUUGCAAACUUACUAGACUCACAUGUAUGGUUUGUAUAGACUGGGUUCAAAGUGCACCAUUCUUCAAAGGGACUAGGAAAGUUACUGACUUUGAACACUAACAGUCAGGUGGCUGUGCAUGUACCAGUGUCAGCAUACGAUAGGAGAGGUCAGAUUCUGGGAGGCAGGACAACUCUGAACAGGGAUUCAGUCACAAUAUUUGAGGCUCCAAAUUGUUACAGCGUAUGACACUGAGUACCUUGUGUAGACAUAGACUAGAGAUAGUAGGUAGCUGGAUAACUUUUUCUGGGAUAUUUAGAAUACUGAAUUAAAAACUGGCAGCCCCUUAAAGGAGACAGAGACCUCAAUCAAACUCUUAA